rnacentral:rRNA from 2 species
GACGAACCAAGCGAACGUUAUUCGGAAUUACUGGGCUUAAAGCGCGUGUAGGCGGAUGGCCACGUCGGUUGUUGAAAUCCCCCGGCUUAACCGGGGAACAGGCACCGAUACGAGUUAUCUGGAGGUGGGUAGGGGAGACUGGAACUUCCGGUGGAGCGGUGAAAUGCGUUGAGAUCGGAAGGAACGCCUGCGGCGAAAGCGAGUCUCUGGCCCCAUACUGACGCUGAGACGCGAAAGCCAGGGGAGCAAACGGG